GUGAGGAAUAUUGGUCAAUGGGCGGAAGCCUGAACCAGCCAUCCCGCGUGGAGGAAGACGGCCCUAUGGGUUGUAAACUUCUUUUCAAGGGGAAGAAAGUUCGCGACGUGUCGCGAUUUGCCGGUACCUUUGGAAUAAGCAUCGGCUAACUCCGUGCCAGCAGCCGCGGUAAUACGGAGGAUGCGAGCGUUAUCCGGAUUUAUUGGGUUUAAAGGGUGCGUAGGCCGAUCGAUAAGUCAGCGGUGAAAUACCAUGGCCCAACCAUGGAACUGCCGUUGAUACUGUCGGUCUUGAAUAUGGUCAAGGUAGGCGGAAUGUGUAAUGUAGCGGUGAAAUGCUUAGAUAUUACACAGAACACCGAUUGCGAAGGCAGCUUACUGGUCCAUUAUUGACGCUGAGGCACGAAAGCGUGGGGAUCGAACAGGAUUAGAAACCCUGGUAGUCC
rnacentral:rRNA from 1 species